GGGUCAGUAGGUUGGUCGUGCCACCGGUACGUACUGGUCUCACUGAUUCCCCCUUCCUGAAGAACCGUAAUGCCAUUAAUUUGGUGUUGCGGGGAAACAGGACUGUUACCUUGAAAAAAUUAGAGUGUUUAAAGCAAGCUAACGCUUGAAUACAUUAGCAUGGAAUAAUGAAAUAGGACGAUCGAUCCUAUUUUGUUGGUUUCUAGGAUUGACGUA
rnacentral:rRNA from 1 species